rnacentral:misc_RNA from 1 species
UGCUUGCACGCCUCUCUGAUUUGCACACAACCACGUCGUUGUGUAGGACGUCGGUACUCGCAAAACGCCGCGGUCGUGUUUCUGGUGUAUGCGGCACCCUCUGUUCAUCGCAUAGGGGGUGUCUCGGCGGUGUUUUGUUCUCAUCUGGGGGAAGUCGCUUGGGGGGGGGCCGAGAUGCACAAGUAAUUUACUUCGGAGACCAAACGGCACACGCCGGUAACCGCAGCGCCCUGCGCGGCCUUCUAGACUCCUUUGCAUGAGUGCAUUCACGGUAAGAGCACAUCGUUUCUUAGUUGCCUUGCUGCGAAGAUGCAACCUGGCGCCGAGAUGAGCUGCGGCUCGUACGCGGCGUUCCACUCGUUGGGAAACGCACUUCGUCGACCGAAAUCGGACUACAGCAUAUCACUGGAGGCCAGGGGUCGUAGCAAAAAAAAGAUCCCCCAUAAGAGCACGAGCGCAAGCUCGUACACUGCGGUAGAGCAAACAGGACCGCAUCGUAGCUCCCCGCGCUGGAGCUUCGUUCGUGAGACGGCUGGUGUGAUGCAGCCCGCAACGGCUGUGGCGAGAAGGACCCCUGCUUUGCUUUCGACCCCACGCGAUCAGCGUACGCCCACGCCGCAGCACGCUCAGACGUCGCCGCGCAGUGAGCAGCACGUGACUAUCGCUGGCUCUGAUGCUUACAUGGAUGAGGCUGCCUCUGCACUUCUCUCGGAACUUCAGCAGGUGGUAGUGCGUGUGUCGCAUCAGAUGGUCGAGGAGCGGCGCCGUGCCGCUCAACAGCGCAAGCAGAUCUGUGCGCUGGAGGUGAUCGUGGCGGAGCAAGAAGCGAUGCUGGAUGCCCUGCGAGCGCAGCGCGAUGCUGCACAGUGUGAAAAUAGCCGGCUUCUGAAAAGGUACCAGCAGAAGUUACGCUGGCGGGGUGCCGACCCUGUUCAGGCGGCUCGACGUAGUCCUGACAUUUGCGGCACAUCGGGUACGCGCGUUUCAGCGGCGCAAGUAGACAACGUAGUGCAGGCUGAGUUCCGACGCCUCUCUACCAUUUCUGAGCCAUGUCCUUUUAGCGGGUUCGACGAUGUAAGCCCUGGUGUCGCUGCCGUGUUGCGGUCGCUGGCGACGCAGGUACUUCAGCUGCAGGGUGCUGCGCAAAAAGACGAAUUAGAGGCAUGCAAUAUAUCAAAGGACGCGCAACCUGCUCCGGUGCAGCCUCAUGCAGCAUCCUCGUCGCUUCGUGCAAGUGCACGAGCAACUUCGACUUCUUCGCUCCUGCCAGCUUUCAACAGGAGCGCACCAGCUGACGACCACGGCAAGGCUGGCGUCGUGGACCGCGUGACGCCGGUUGCGGCGCUAGAAAAGCGAAAGAAAGCAUCCGUGUUUGCAGCUGCCACAGCGGGACCGAACUAUUCUCCCUCGGAGAGAGCUGGUCACACAAAUGGCGAGGAGGCUGAGUUGCACUGCGUCGAUCUGGACGCCGGGACGAACGGCGAUGCGCAUGCAGCAGCAUGCAUGGCGUCCGAGGCAAGCGCAUCGGUGGGGAGCUCCGUGUACGAGGAUGCGGCCUCCAUCUUGUCUGACAUACGUGCCCGCUACGGUCUGUAACGUAGAGGGGUGCGAGUUGCGGAAACAGAGACGCCUCGGGAGAAGAGGCCGUAUGGCGAAAAGAAAAAGAUGUCAAGCUCACGUUUGGCUUGCGUGCGCUUGCAUGUCGUCCGAGGCGUGGAGUGCGGUGGGAGGCCACGCUGCUGCUGGCAACUGGGGCGCCUGGGCAUACUCACACUCAUGCAGACGCGCAGCGAGUUGCAAAUUCUGUCGUGAUUCGAUUUUCUUUUUCUAGAGGUGUACCGGUGCGCAGAUGGCAAUGUGGUUUUGCUUG